rnacentral:rRNA from 2 species
CUCAGGACGAACGCUGGCGGCACGCCUAAUACAUGCAAGUCGAGCGAGUGAAGCAUUUUGAAGCCUUCGGGUGGACGAAUGCGGAUCGAGCGGCGGACGGGUGAGUAACACGUAGGCAACCUGCCCGACAGACGGGGACAACCCCGGGAAACCGGGGCUAAUACCGGAUGCACUCUAGUGGCGCAUGUCACAAGAGGAAAGAUGGCCUUGUGCUAUCACUGUCGGAUGGGCCUGCGGCGCAUUAGCUAGUUGGAGAGGUAACGGCUCCCCAAGGCGACGAUGCGUAGCCGACCUGAGAGGGUGACCGGCCACACUGGGACUGAGACACGGCCCAGACUCCUACGGGAGGCAGCAGUAGGGAAUCUUCCGCAAUGGGGGCAACCCUGACGGAGCGAUGCCGCGUGAGUGAGGAAGGUUUUCGGAUCGUAAAACUCUGUUGUGAGGGAAGAGGUCUCCGGGUUCGAAUAGGGCCCGGAGGUGACGGUACCUCACGAGGAAGCCCCGGCUAACUACGUGCCAGCAGCCGCGGUAAUACGUAGGGGGCAAGCGUUGUCCGGAAUUAUUGGGCGUAAAGGGCACGCAGGCGGUUUGUUAAGUCUGAUGUGAAAGCCCACGGGCUCAACCCGUGGGAGGGUCAUUGGAAACUGGCAGACUUGAGUGCAGGAGAGGAGAGCGGAAUUCCACGUGUAGCGGUGAAAUGCGUAGAGAUGUGGAGGAACACCAGUGGCGAAGGCGGCUCUCUGGCCUGUAACUGACGCUGAGGUGCGAAAGCGUGGGGAGCGAACAGGAUUAGAUACCCUGGUAGUCCACGCCGUAAACGAUGAGUGCUAGGUGUUAGGGGUUUCGAUACCCUUGGUGCUGAAGUCAACACAAUAAGCACUCCGCCUGGGGAGUACGACCGCAAGGUUGAAACUCAAAGGAAUUGACGGGGGCCCGCACAAGCAGUGGAGCAUGUGGUUUAAUUCGAAGCAACGCGAAGGACCUUACCAGGGCUUGACAUCCUCCUGCCGCAUCUGGAGACAGGUGUUCUCUUCGGAGCAGGAGUGACAGGUGGUGCAUGGUUGUCGUCAGCUCGUGUCGUGAGAUGUUGGGUUAAGUCCCGCAACGAGCGCAACCCUUGAUCUUAGUUGCCAGCAAGUGAAGUUGGGCACUCUAAGGUGACUGCCGGUGACAAACCGGAGGAAGGUGGGGAUGACGUCAAAUCAUCAUGCCCCUUAUGUCCUGGGCAACACACGUGCUACAAUGGGCGGUACAACGGGAAGCGAAGCCGCGAGGUGGAGCCAAUCCCCAAAAGCCGUUCUCAGUUCGGAUUGCAGGCUGCAACUCGCCUGCAUGAAGCUGGAAUUGCUAGUAAUCGCGGAUCAGCAUGCCGCGGUGAAUACGUUCCCGGGCCUUGUACACACCGCCCGUCACACCACGAGAGUCUGUAACACCCGAAGUCGGUUGUGUAACCUUCGGGAGCAAGCCGCCUAAGGUGGGACAGAUGAUUGGGGUGAAGUCGUAACA